GCCAACUGGUUCACUAGCAUGGCUGUGGAGCAGCAGAAAACAGAGGGAGGCCAACUGGUUCACUAGCAUGGCUGUGGAGCAGCAGAAAACAGAGGGAGGCCAACUGGUUCACUAGCAUGGCUGUGGAGAAGCAGAAAACAGAGGGAGGUUCACUAGCAUGGCUGUGGAGCAGCAGAAAACAGAGGGAGGUUCACUAGCAUGGCUGUGGAGCAGCAGAAAACAGAGGGAGGCCAACUGGUUCACUAGCAUGGCUGUGGAGAAGCAGAAAACAGAGGGAGGUUCACUAGCAUGGCUGUGGAGCAGCAGAAAACAGAGGGAGGCCAACUGGUUCAAUAGCAUGGCUGUGGAGCAGCAGAAAACAGAGGGAGGCCAACUUGUUCACUAGCAUGGCUGUGGAGCAGCAGAAAACAGAGGGAGGCCAACUGGUUCACUAGCAUGGAUGUGGAGCAGCAGCAAACAGAGGGAGGCCAACUGGUUCACUAGCAUGGCUGUGGAGCAGCAGAAAACAGAGGGA
ensembl:lncRNA